rnacentral:rRNA from 1 species
UUGAUCCUGGCUCAGAAUCAACGCUGGCGGCGUGCCUAACACAUGCAAGUCGAACGCGAAAGCCCCGCAAGGGGCAAGUAGAGUGGCAAACGGGUGAGUUACACGUGGGUGACCUGCCUUCGAGCGGGGGAUAACGUCCCGAAAGGGACUCUAAUACCGCAUGACAUCCUGCCUUUGAAGAGGUGGAGAUCAAAGUUGGUGAUCGCAAGACCCAGCACUCGAAGAGGGGCCCGCGCCUGAUUAGCUAGUUGGUGGGGUAAUGGCUCACCAAGGCAACGAUCAGUAGCCGGCCUGAGAGGUCGGACGGCCACACUGGGACUGAGACACGGCCCAGACUCCUACGGGAGGCUGCAGUGGGGAAUUGUUCGCAAUGGGCGCAAGCCUGACGACGCAACGCCGUGUGGAGGACGAAGACCUUCGGGUCGUAAACUCCUUUCGAUCGAGACGAAUGGCCUCCGGGUCAAUAGCCCGGAGGAAUGGCGGUACCGAGAGAAGAAGCUCCGGCUAACUCCGUGCCAGCAGCCGCGGUAAUAAGGU